UGUUUUUAAAGAGUUCAGCUUAAUCCUCGUCCUCUCCUGUAACAGUGAAAUAUAUAUAUAUUAAUAUACCCCAUGAUAUAACCUUUCAGGAAAUGGAAAAAACAGUUAUUACAAUCAGACACACAAAUUACAAAUUAUUAUAACAGCAGAUAAACGGUUACUGUAUUAUAACUGGCAACUAUAUUGCACUUUACUAAUGGACAGCCUCUUAAGAAAGACAAAGGCCAUUCAGGGAAAAAUUCAGGGUAAAUUGGAUCUUACUUUUAAAUACUGUUAAAAACUUUGAAGAGUCAGCUUCUUCAUUUUCUGCAGAUAAAGAAAAACAACAGUGUUCACCUCA